UGAUCCUUAAAGGACUAUGGAACCUCCAAUGGUUUGAACAAGAACACAGUAAUUCUCUAUCAGAGACGAGUCUCGAAUUCUACAAUAGACCGGUUUAGGCAGCAGAAACAACAACAUUCACAUAUGAUGUAGAUGAUGAAGGUAGCCAGCCAAGAGAGCGAGAUUAUUUGGGUCCCCAGGAGUCCAGGUAGAUGAUCUUGGACAUCGAAUCCUCGGUGCGCCUGGCUCUCUCCACCGCUUUCUCCCCUCCUCUCCUCCACUGAUCAAUGGAAGAAGAAGACAUCCUCUUGGCCCGAGAGAACGGCGCCAUGCUGCGCUUGGCACGCCCGUGGAGGGACCUGAGCGCGUAGUUCCAUCGACACAGGCCCGCCUGAUCCUUGAGCGCCUCCACCGCCGCCACGCUCGCUGCGACGAUCAGCGAAGCCUUGCUUGCCGAAGCCAUAUGUAUCAAUCUACUACUCAGUAGUUUGAACCUGUGAUGAGUUGCAAAUGUUACAGAAGUGGGCGACGGGGAAGGGAAACACAAGCGUCCAUAUAAAGCCCCCGAGGAAGGGAAAACAGGGGAUGAGAUUGCCGCUGGUUUCGGCUCAUAGUUGUUUCCCAGAUACAAGGGGAGGCUUUUGCUUGUUUACGGAUAAGACUGUGACUGCAUUGGAAUCAGUGAGACGGAUGGUUUGGUAGGAGAAAACGUGUGGCUAAAGUAGAACAAAAGGCACACGGAUCGGAGACCUGUGGGCGGCACCAGUAAACCGGGAAUCUAACGGUUGAUCAGCCAUCCUUGCUUGGCUUGGCGAUCCUGUCGAGAUGUGAGGUUUGGUCUCUCUCUAUCUCUCUCUCUCUCUCUCUCUCACACACACAUCUUUGAGUCGAGCAACUGCGGAUGGAUUCCCUUCUUACUCCUGUUUUUGUUUCGGUAACAAAGGUCACUCAGCAUCAGUCUCUUGCUGGAUCGAUAAUAGUAUCUAUCUAAAACAAAUUCUCUCUUUUUUUAUUGUUCUUGUAUGAGCUGAAGAUAAAGAAAGGGAUAAACAUUGGUGAGAGAUGGGAGAGAGUGAUCUUUCGAAGAUGUGAUUGAUUUAGCAUAGCUUCUGCCGAUGGAUUUCAUGUCAUCCUUUGCUCCUUUUAAUCAGUUCCAUCGAAUAUAUAUGAGAUAAGACGAGAAAUGCCACAAACAUCUUGAACAAACUUAUCCAUGCCAUGAAAAGGCCUCAUCAUGUUCGAACAAUUCAGUAUAUAUUACUGCAAAAUCGGAUUGUUUUUACAUAGGAGACGUAGGCUGAACAGAGAAGAAGGAUUUGGUUCAUCUUUGAACCAAACACAAAGACACCUCUCUCUAAUUGGGACCCCAACAGCUCAAGUACACGACCGUCCUCAGUGCCUCCUCUGCUUGCUUGGCCUUCGCAUCCGCCGCCUGCCACUCUCUCCUCGUGUCGAUGGAGGAAGAUGUCCUCUUGGCCCGAGACAAGGAGCCUACGGUGUUGUUCUUCGUCCGCUGCUGCAGAGAUCUGAGGACGUAGUUCCACCGGCAUAGCCCCGCUUGGUCCUUGAGCGCUUCCACUGCGCUCAUGCUAGCCGCGACAACGAAACAAGCCCUGCUUGCAGAAGCCAUAUCUUUAGCCUAUGAAAGAACUGAUGAGUGACAAAGAAGAUCUCGGUGGAAGUAGAUCGUGAGUGUCUCAAUCUGAUGCCGAAGAAGGAGAUGGAAGGGUGUCCAAUAUAUAAGGCUACGGUAAUCGAGGAGGUUGGGAGGAGAGGGUAUGGAAGAGAAAGAGAACCGGGGUGCGCUGCUGCUGGUUUCUUGCUUCUCACUCCCCCUUCCCCUGAUACCAGCGGCCAUAUUGCUUGUUUAUUAGCUUCCACAUGGUUGGAUUUGACACCGCGAGAGUGACGCCAAGGAACUUGGCAGCAUAUGUAUCUUGGAUCUGUAAUAUGUAUAGUAUAGUAUAGUAUAGUAUAGCAUAUAUAUAUAUAUAUAUAUGGUUUCAUCCAAUAAAUUUAUAUCUGAAAUAUUAAUUUCAAGAUGAUAUACGUAUUUAUUUAUCUCCGUAAAAUUAAGCUACAAAAUCUGCAUGUCCAUAAUAAUAAUGGAGAUGAUCACAAAACCCAAGCGAGACGAAUGGCGUCGUCUCUACAACACUCCUAUUUGGGUCCCCAGCAGUCCAAGUAGAUGAGCUUGGACAAGGACCUCUCGGUGCGCUUGGCUCUCUCCACCGCUCCCUCCCCUCCUUUCCUCCACUGAUCAACGGACGACCAAGACAUCCUCUUGGCCUGAGAGAGCGUCGCCAUGCUGCGUUUCGCCCGCUGGUGGAGGGACCCAACCGUGUAGUUCCAUCGGCACAGCCCUGCUUGAUCCUUGAGCGCCUCCACAGCCGCCAUGCUCGCUGCGAUUAUCAACGAAGCCUUGCUUGCCGAAACCAUACGUAUCAAUCGCCUGCUCUGAGUUUGAAUCUGUGUAACAGAAGUGAGUGUUCGACGGGGAAAGGGAAAGAGCACACGACAGUCCAUAUAAAGCCCGGAACGGAGGGCGGCUGCAGGGAAGGGAGAGGUGGAGGAAGGAGGAAACUGGGGAUGAGCUGCUGCUGCUGCUGGUUUUGGGUUGCUGUUGUUUUCCAGAUACGGAGGGCUUUCGGUAGGCACUUAAAAAAUAUCCAUCUACUAAAGCAGAAGCAAAGCCACACGGAUCGAAAAAUGGUGGGCUCGACUUGCAGUGGGUGCACGAGGAAACUGGGAAUCCAGCGACGCAGAUAUGGAUUGUUCUGUCAGCUGGGUUGUCCUGUUUAUUUGGUUUUUGCCUUCAGCUCUGGUUAAGAAUUAGGGUUCGAUCAAUAUCAAUAAUGAUGCUCGAAUUACGAAACAAGUAACUAUAUCAAUACAUAGAUUCCUUUGUUGGUAACUCAUCUGGAAUGACGCGAGCUUAGCCAUCCAUCAUUGCUGGAAAGUAUUUGUGUGAGUUGAAAACUGUGGUGAAAGUGUAGGAAGUUUACUGUCUCACCGAGAAAGAGAACACUUUGGCGAAGAAUUCAGAUCGAUGGACACAAGGAAAACAUUUCUAACAUGCUUAUCCACGC
rnacentral:lncRNA from 1 species